UUAAGCAUAUCAAUAAGCGGAGGAAAAGAAACCAACAGGGAUUGCCUCAGUAACGGCGAGUGAAGCGGCAACAGCUCAAAUUUGAAAUCUGGCCCUAGGCCCGAGUUGUAAUUUGCAGAGGAUGCUUUUGGCGAGGUGCCUUCCGAGUUCCCUGGAACGGGACGCCAUAGAGGGUGAGAGCCCCGUCUGGUCGGACACCGAGCCUCUGUAAAGCUCCUUCGACGAGUCGAGUAGUUUGGGAAUGCUGCUCAAAAUGGGAGGUAUAUGUCUUCUAAAGCUAAAUACCGGCCAGAGACCGAUAGCGCACAAGUAGAGUGAUCGAAAGAUGAAAAGCACUUUGAAAAGAGAGUUAAAUAGCACGUGAAAUUGUUGAAAGGGAAGCGUUUAUGACCAGACUUGGCCCGGUUGAUCAUCCAGCGUUCUCGCUGGUGCACUCUGCCGGUCCAGGCCAGCAUCAGUUCGUCGCGGGGGAUAAAGGUUUCGGGAAUGUGGCUCCUCCGGGAGUGUUAUAGCCCGUUGCGUAAUACCCUGCGGUGGACUGAGGUCCGCGCUUCUGCAAGGAUGCUGGCGUAAUGGUCAUCAACGACCCGUCUUGAAACACGGACCAAGGAGUCGUCUUCGUAUGCGAGUGUUCGGGUGUAAAACCCCUACGCGUAAUGAAAGUGAACGCAGGUGAGAGCUUCGGCGCAUCAUCGACCGAUCCUGAUGUUCUCGGAUGGAUUUGAGUAAGAGCAUACGGGGCCGGACCCGAAAGAAGGUGAACUAUGCCUGUAUAGGGUGAAGCCAGAGGAAACUCUGGUGGAGGCUCGCAGCGGUUCUGACGUGCAAAUCGAUCGUCAAAUAUGGGCAUGGGGGCGAAAGACUAAUCGAACCUUCUAGUAGCUGGUUUCCGCCGAAGU
rnacentral:rRNA from 1 species